rnacentral:rRNA from 1 species
UAAUACGGAGGGUGCAAGCGUUGUUCGGAAUUACUGGGCGUAAAGCGUGCGUAGGCGGCCUCGUCAGUCGGGUGUGAAAGCCCUGGGCUCAACCCAGGAACUGCAUUCGAUACUGCGAGGCUUGAGUAUGGGAGAGGGAAGCGGAAUUCCUGGUGUAGCGGUGAAAUGCGUAGAUAUCAGGAGGAACACCCGUGGCGAAGGCGGCUUCCUGGCCCAUUACUGACGCUGAGGCACGAGAGCGUGGGGAGCAAACAGGAUUAGAUACCCUGGUAGUCCACGCCGUAAACGAUGAGUGCUAGGUGUUGGGAGUGUUGACCCUCUCAGUGCCGCCGCUAACGCAUUAAGCACUCCGCCUGGGGGGUACGGUCGCAAGAUUA